rnacentral:rRNA from 1 species
UACGUAGGUGGCAAGCGUUGUCCGGAUUUACUGGGCGUAAAGAGCGCGCAGGCGGUCGUCCAAGUCGCGUGUGAAAGCCCCCGGCUCAACUGGGGAGGGUCACGCGAUACUGGUCGACUCGAAGGCAGGAGAGGGUAGUGGAAUUCCCGGUGUAGUGGUGAAAUGCGUGGAUAUCGGGAGGAACACCAGUGGCGAAGGCGACUACCUGGCCUGUUCUUGACGCUGAGGCGCGAAAGCUAGGGGAGCAAACGGG